rnacentral:rRNA from 1 species
UUUUGUUUAUUUAUUUAAGGUCUGACCUGCCCAAUGAGGAAUUCAAUGGCCGCAGUAUUCUAACUGUGCUAAGGUAGCAUAAUCAUUUGUCUUUUAAUUGAGGGCUGGAAUGAAAGGUUGGACGAGAUAUUAGCUUUCUUUAUUUUAAUUUUUGGAAUUUAAUUUUUAAGUUAAAAAGCUUAAAUAUAUUUGUUGGAUAGAAGACCCUAUAGAUCUUUAUAAUUUUAUAUUUUGGCAAUAUAGGGAUUUUUUUGCUUGGAGUAAAUUAAUUAUUUUGUUGGGGUGACUAUAGAAUUUUAAUAACUUCUGUUUGUUUGUAUCGUUUAUUGAUGUUUUUUUGAUCCGUGUAUGUUACGAUUAGAAGAUUAAGUUACCUUAGGGAUAACAGCGUAAUUUUUUCGGAGAGUUCAUAUUGAUGAAGGAGUUUCGGACCUCGAUGUUGGAUUAAAAUAAGUUAUGGACGCAGAAGUCUAUAUACUAGGACUGUUCGACCUUUAAAUUUUUACAUGAUCUGAG